CAAGAUAACUGAAAUUAGCUUGUUUACUUCUAUUUUUGGUAAAAGAGUAGAUACUGCUUAUCGGCCGUAUCGCUAAUGGACAUAAAUGUUAAAAAUGAAGUUCUCGGAAAUUGCGUUCAGAACAGUUUACAACUCUGUAGAGUAUAUCAGAAAUCGUGGUACGAACGAAAAAGAAGAUAUUUUCCUGCAAGUACGGGUGAAAGAUCUAUCAAAUUAGUAUUAUCUUUUUAGCUGUUUCAUAUAAAUAAAAGUGGAAUGGAUAAAUUUGUAUCUAAUACAAUUUCCGAAUAUAAAAAUUCGAAUUACUUCUGCAAGGAAAAUCAAUGCCUCUCUUAUUUCAUCAGGAUUUAUGAUACAGGCUGUAUAAUUAUUAUAUAUAUAAUUAUUCUGUA